rnacentral:lncRNA from 1 species
CGCGCCUGAGGACGGUCGCCGCCCACCGGCACCGAGGGCCGCCCCCGGCCUCCUCCUUGCAGCUCCCCUUCUCUCUCUCCCACCCCCUUUCCCUCUUAGGAAGCUCGCCCGAGCACACCCAUCACCGCGCCGUCCCGUUGGCGCGACCACCGGUCGCAGCUCGCCAAUCCGACGCGUCGAGGAGCCCUGCCCGACUGUUCUCUGUCGACCUCCAUCCUAGAUCGAGGCGGGGAAGCCUCAACGUCGUCGCCGUCGUUCUCUUCUUCGUCGGCGCCGCACGCCACGUUCGUCGUCGAUCCACUGGCCCCGUCGACCCCUCCACGAGCUCCUUGGUGAGCUCCGCGUGCCUCCUCCCUCUCUCUGCCGCUUGAUUCACUCCCGCAGCUUGCUGUCCCCAUUGCCGGAGCUCUGCUUCCACCGCCAUGUACCCCCUGUCGUUUUGGUCUAUCCCCGGGCUGGAUGAGUGCUCAGAUGAGCUCAGGGCGCCCCCUGAUGUUCCCCUGCUAGUUAGCUGGCUCAAACGUGAGCUAUCCCGUCGAACCCAGCCACCCCACUUCCUGUUGCCACCGGCCCUCGUCAUUGGGGUUACCUCCGGCCUCCCCAGCGUCACCCAGGACCACCAUUCGAUGCAGCAUCAAGCUCGCGUUCGAACAAGCCCGACCGCGUCCGGUUUGGAUCACCACCGCCCGUUUCCGACGAGGUCCCAUGGCCCUUCGCCAUGUUUGGCACUGCCGCCGGCACGCCACCGCAGUUGAACAUGGCUGGGGCACUACCAAGUGCCCCGUGCUUGUUAGGUAGCUAAUUAGGAGCUAAUGGCCCACUCACAUGUGUGCCCGCCACUGUAGCACUUAGUUAGGUUAAAUUAACUAGGUAAUUUUUGGAGACACUGAGAACAUGGGCCUGAUACGUCUCAGUCGUAUCUACUUCUCCAAACACUUUUGCCCUUGUUUUGGACUCUAACUUGCAUGAUUUGAAUGGAACUAACCCGGACUGACGUUGUUUUCAGCAGAAUUGACAUGGUGUUAUUUAUGUGCAGAAACAAAAGUUCUCGGAAUGACCUGAAACUUCACGGAGAUUAUUUUUGGAAAUAAUAAAAAAUACUGGAAAAGAUCAAGACCAGGGGGCCCACACCCUAGCCAUGAGGGUGGGGGCGCACCUGCCCCCCUGGGCGUGCCUGACUAAGCUAUGUACCUAGGGUAGGGUCAUGGAGAUGCCCUCCCCAAGGACAUCUCUAAAAGAACCAGAAGCAGUCGGAGAGAAAUCAUCACCCACUUGACCAUGAAGUUAUGUUCCACUCGACAUCCUUGAAGACACUCGACCAUGCGAACAACCAUUCGACCGUCAGAAGAUGUGAAGACACUCACUCCACAACGGUCGAGAUUUAAGUCAUAGCUUUAUGGUCAUUUAUAGCACUUUACUCCAGACGUUACCAGUAAUGCUCCUCCUUUAUGAACAUUGAACCCUGUGUAACGGAGGGAAGCUGGGGUCCUGGCGCACUCUAUAUAAGCCACCCCUCUCCUCUGGGACAAGGGUUUGCACCUUUUGUAAUUUACACGCGUAUAUCCAGUCGACCGCCUCCGAGCUCCGAGACGUAGGGCUG